AAACUACCCGCUGAACUUAGCAUAUCUAUAAGCGGAGAAAAGAAAGCGAACAGGGAUUGCCCUAGUAACGGCGAGUGAAGCGGCAACAGCUCAAAUUUGAAAUCUGGCCCUUUUAGGGUCUCGAGUUGUAAUUUGCAGAGGGCGCUUUGGCAUUGGCAGCGGUCCAAGUUCCUUGGACCAGGACGUCACAGAGGGUGAGAAUCCCGUACGUGGUCGCUAGCCUUUGCUGUGUAAAGCCCCUUCGACGAGUCGAGUUGUUUGGGAAUGCAGCUCUAAAUGGGAGGUAAAUUUCUUCUAAAGCUAAAUAUUGGCCAGAGACCGAUAGCGCACAAGUAGAGUGAUCGAAAGAUGAAAAGCACUUUGGAAAGAGAGUCAAAUAGCACGUGAAAUUGUUGAAAGGGAAGCGCUUGCAGCCAGACUUGCCUGUAGUUGCUUAUUUGGGCUUUUGCCUAGUGCACUCUUUUGCGGGCAGGCCAGCAUCAGUUUGGGCGGUUGGAUAAAGGUCUCUGUCAUGUACCUCCUUUCGGGGAGGACUUAUAGGGGAGGCGACAUGCAACCAGCCUGGACUGAGGUCCGCGCAUCUGCUAGGAUGCUGGCGUAAUGGCUGUAAGCGGCCCGUCUUGAAACACGGACCAAGGAGUCUAACAUCUAUGCGAGUGUUUGGGUGUCAAGCCCAGACGCGUAAUGAAAGUGAACGGAGGUAGGAACCCUUUGGGUGCACUAUCGACCGAUCCUGAUGUCUUCGGAAGGAUUUGAGUAAGAGCAUGGCUGUUGGGACCCGAAAGAUGGUGAACUAUUCCCGGAUAGGGUGAUGCCAGAGGAAACUAUGGUGGAGGCUCGCACCGGUUCUGUCGUGCCAAUCGAUCCUCCAAUAUACGCAUGGGGCGAAAGACUACACAUCUUCUCCCCGGU
rnacentral:rRNA from 1 species